AAUUUAAAAUUUAAACUUUUUGAAAUUUGAAAUUUAAAAUUUGAAAUUUAAAAUUUAAAAUCAAAAUAAAGAUUGAAUUUUUAAAAUUUUAAAUUUUGAAAUUUAAAAUUUUAUGUUGAAAUUUAAAAUUUAGAAAUUGAUACAUCUUUGGGAGCACAAAAUGGUGGAAUUUUUUUUCUUUAGUUAAAGUGGAUUGUAAGUUAACUUUAUUUUUUGGAGUAUAGUAUAACUAUACUUCAAAAAUUACGUCAUUUUUUUUUUUUCUUCCAAACGCUUCAUAGGAUUUUUUUUCUACCGGCGCAGUAUAAUUUAACUAUGCUACGUUUUUAGAGGUAUCCAAACGGGUUUGAUUUUGUUAUUAUACAAUGUUC
rnacentral:lncRNA from 1 species